CAGGCCUCAUGUAGAUACCCAUAGAGGUCAGAUAUAUGCAUGGCUACACCAAAAUCUGGGACAUCCUCAGAUCUGGAUCUGAAGAAAGAGAUCAAUGAUUCAAGUAUGUGAUUUGACCACUAAAUUAUUUUUAUUCUCUAAAAUCAGAUGCUCUUAAUCUUAUUUAUCAUUAUAUGAACUAGAUCAAUUGGUAUUUAAAUUAGAUCUAUA
rnacentral:lncRNA from 1 species